rnacentral:rRNA from 1 species
GACGAACGCUGGCGGCGUGCUUAACACAUGCAAGUCGAACGGAAAGGCCCUGCUUUUGUGGGGUGCUCGAGUGGCGAACGGGUGAGUAACACGUGAGUAACCUGCCCUUGACUUUGGGAUAACUUCAGGAAACUGGGGCUAAUACCGGAUAGGAGCUCCUGCUGCAUGGUGGGGGUUGGAAAGUUUCGGCGGUUGGGGAUGGACUCGCGGCUUAUCAGCUUGUUGGUGGGGUAGUGGCUUACCAAGGCUUUGACGGGUAGCCGGCCUGAGAGGGUGACCGGCCACAUUGGGCCUGAGAUACGGCCCAGACUCCUACGGGAGGCAGCAGUGGGGAAUAUUGCACAAUGGGCGGAAGCCUGAUGCAGCAACGCCGCGUGCGGGAUGACGGCCUUCGGGUUGUAAACCGCUUUCGCCUGUGACGAAGCGUGAGUGACGGUAAUGGGUACAGACGCCCCGGCUAACUACGUG